rnacentral:lncRNA from 1 species
UCCAGGAGCACCAGCAGCAUGUGCAUGGCUUCUGUAAUUGUCAGGAGGUCAAAGCAUAUCCCAUUUGAAAGAAUUCCUC